rnacentral:rRNA from 1 species
GAUAGUCCCGUAUACGAAAUAAUCACAGUGGAACUAAGCAUACGAACAAGUAGGACGGGGCACGUGGAACCUUGUCUGAAUAUGGGGGGACCAUCCUCCAAGGCUAAAUACUCCUGAAUGACCGAUAGUGAACUAGUACCGUGAGGGAAAGGUGAAAAGAACCCUUAUAAAGGGAGUGAAAUAGAAUCUGAAACCGCUUGCAUACAAGCAGUAGGAGCAUGAUUUAGUCAUGUGACUGCGUACCUUUUGUAUAAUGGGUCAGCGAGUUAUUUUUAGUGGCGAGGAUAACUGAAUAAGGGAUCCGUAGCGAAAGCGAGUUUUAAUAGGGCGACUAGUCGCUAGGAGUAGACCCGAAACCGGCGCGAUCUAUCCAUGGCCAGGUUGAAGAUUAGGUAGUACUAAUUGGAGGACCGAACCCAAUACUGUUGCAAAAGUAUGGGAUGAGCUGUGGAUCGGAGUGAAAGGCUAAUCAAGCACGGAGAUAGCUGGUUCUCCCCGAAAACUAUUUAGGUAGUGCCUCGUGUAUAACUCAUUGGGGUAAAGCACUGUUUCGACAAUGGGGGUUUUACGACCUUACUGACUCGAUGCAAACUCAGAAUACGAUGAAGUUCGAUCACGGGAGACACACUGCGGGUGCUAAGGUCCGCAGUGGAAAGGGAAACAGCCCAGACCGCCAACUAAGGUCCCAAAGUCAUAGCUAAGUGGGAAACGAAGUGGGAAGGCCCAGACAGCCAGGAGGUUGGCUUAGAAGCAGCCACCCUUUAAAGAAAGCGUAAUAGCUCACUGGUCGAGUCGGCCUGCACGUAAGAUUUAACGGGGCUAAGCUAUGCACUGAAGUUGCGGAAUAUAUUUAGUAUAUUGGUAGGGGAGCGUUCUGUAAGCCGAUGAAGGUGAAUUGAGAAGUUUGCUGGAGGUAUCAGAAGUGCGAAUGCUGACAUGAGUAACGUAAAAUAAGUGAGAUUCUUAUUGGCCGAAAACCCAAGGGUUCCUACGCAAUGUUAAUCAACGUAGGGUAAGCCGGCCCCUAAGGCGUAGCUGAAGAGUGAAGUCGAUGGGAAACAGGUUAAUAUUCCUGUGCUGCUUAUAUGAACGAAGGAGGGACGGAGAAGGUUAGGUAGGCCUGGCGAAUGGUUGUCCAGGUGAAAGUAUGUAGGUAGGAAUGCUAGGCAAAUCCGGUGUUCUGUUGAUCUGAGAUACGAGACGAAGUUAAACUUGUUUGACGAAGCUAUUGAUACCAUGCUUCCAGGAAAAGCUUCUAAGUAUAUUGUAUAAGUGACCGUACUGUAAACCGACACUGGUGGGUAGGUAGAGAAUACUAAGGCUAUGAGAUAACUCUGGUGAAGGAACUAGGCAAAAUGACACCGUAACUUUGGAAGAAGGUGUGCCCUUGAUGGUGAUGAGACUUGCUCUUUGAGCUGUUGGGGGUUGCAGAUACCAGGUGGCUGCGACUGUUUAUCAAAAACACAGCACUCUGCGAAAUCGUAAGAUGAAGUAUAGGGUGUGACGCCUGCCCGGUGCUGGAAGGUUAAUUGAAGGGGUUAGCGCAAGCGAAGCUCUGGAUCGAAGCCCCAGUAAACGGCGGCCGUAACUAUAACGGUCCUAAGGUAGCGAAAUUCCUUGUCGGGUAAGUUCCGACCUGCACGAAUGGCGUAACGAUGGCCACACUGUCUCCACCAGAGACUCAGUGAAAUUGAAAUCGCUGUGAAGAUGCAGUGUACCCGCGGUUAGACGGAAAGACCCCGUGAACCUUUACUAUAGCUUUGCACUGGACUUUGAAUAUUUAUGUGUAGGAUAGGUGGGAGACCAUGAAGCAGCUACGCCAGUAGUUGUGGAGUCGUCCUUGAAAUACCACCCUUGAAUAUUUGAAGUUCUAACUCAGGAGAGAUUCGAGGACAGUGUAUGGUGGGUAGUUUGACUGGGGCGGUCUCCUCCUAAAGAGUAACGGAGGAGUACGAAGGUGCACUCGGUACGGUCGGAAAUCGUGCCAAGAGUAUAAAGGCAAAAGUGCGCUUGACUGCGAGAGUGACGGCUCGAGCAGGUACGAAAGUAGG